rnacentral:tRNA from 1 species
ACCAAUGUGCUCAGUGGUUAGAGUGUCGGCCUGCAGACUCAAGGGUCCCAGGUUCGAUUCCUGUCAUGGGCA